CCUACGGGAGGCAGCAGUGGGGAAUAUUGGACAAUGGGGGGAACCCUGAUCCAGCGACGCCGCGUGAGUGAAGAAGUAUUUCGGUAUUGAAAGCUCUAUCAGCAGGGAAGAAAGAAAUGACGGUACCUGACUAAGAAGCCCCGGCUAACAACGUGCCAGCAGCCGCGGUAAUACGUAGGGGGCAAGCGUUAUCCGGAUUUACUGGGUGGAAAGGGAGCGUAGACGGGGAUGCAAGUCUGAAGUGAAAGGGGGGGGGCCAAACCCCGGACUGCUUUGGAAACUGGGUGGCUUGAGUGCAGGGGAGGUAAGUGGAAUGCCUAGUGUAGCGGUGAAAUGCGUAGAUAUCAGGAGGAACACCAGUUGCGAAGGCGGCUUACUGGACUGUAACUGACGUUGAGGCUCGAAAGCGUGGGGAGCAAACAGGAUUAGAUACCCCUGUAGUC
rnacentral:rRNA from 1 species